rnacentral:rRNA from 1 species
UACGUAGGCAGCAAGCGUUGUUCGGAUUUACUGGGCGUAAAGAGUGUGUAGGCGGUGCUCCAAGUCUGGUGUGAAAUCUCCCGGCUUAACUGGGAGGGUGCAUUAGAAACUGGAAUGCUAGAGGAUGGGAGAGGUAAGCGGAAUUCCUGGUGUAGCGGUGAAAUGCGUAGAUAUCAGGAGGAACACCUGUGGUGUAGACAGCUUACUGGACCAUUUCUGACGCUGAGACACGAAAGCGUGGGUAGCAAACAGG